rnacentral:rRNA from 1 species
UUGAACGCUGGCGGCAGGCCUAACACAUGCCAGUCGAGCGGAUGAAGGGAGCUUGCUCCUGGAUUCAGCGGCGGACGGGUGAGUAAUGCCUAGGAAUCUGCCUGGUAGUGGGGGAUAACGUCCGGAAACGGGCGCUAAUACCGCAUACGUCCUGAGGGAGAAAGUGGGGGAUCUUCGGACCUCACGCUAUCAGAUGAGCCUAGGUCGGAUUAGCUAGUUGGUGGGGUAAAGGCCUACCAAGGCGACGAUCCGUAACUGGUCUGAGAGGAUGAUCAGUCACACUGGAACUGAGACACGGGCCAGACUCCUACGGGAGGCAGCAGUGGGGAAUAUUGGACAAUGGGCGAAAGCCUGAUCCAGCCAUGCCGCGUGUGUGAAGAAGGUCUUCGGAUUGUAAAGCACUUUAAGUUGGGAGGAAGGGCAGUAAGUUAAUACCUUGCUGUUGUGACGUGACCAACAGAAUAAGCACCGGCUAACUUCG